rnacentral:rRNA from 1 species
UACGAAGGGGGCUAGCGUUGCUCGGAAUCACUGGGCGUAAAGGGCGCGUAGGCGGCGUUUUUAAGUCGGGGGUGAAAGCCUGUGGCUCAACUCCAGAACUGCCUUCGAUACUGGAGAGCUUGAGUCCGGGAGAGGUGAGUGGAACUGCGAGUGUAGAGGUGAAAUUCGUAGAUAUUCGCAAGAACACCAGUGGCGAAGGCGGCUCACUGGCCCGGUACUGACGCUGAGGUGCGAAAGCGUGGGGAGCAAACAGGG